UACGUAGGGUCCGAGCGUUGUCCGGAAUUACUGGGCGUAAAGAGCUCGUAGGCGGUCUGUCGCGUCGGCUGUGAAAUCCCGAGGCUCAACCUCGGGUCUGCAGUCGAUACGGGCAAACUAGAGUAUUGCAGGGGAGACUGGAAUUCCUGGUGUAGCGGUGAAAUGCGCAGAUAUCAGGAGGAACACCGGUGGCGAAGGCGGGUCUCCGGGCAAUAACUGACGCUGAGGAGCGAAAGCGUGGGGAGCGAACAGG
rnacentral:rRNA from 1 species